rnacentral:rRNA from 1 species
GACGAACGCUGGCGGCGUGCUUAACACAUGCAAGUCGAACGGAAAGGCCCUGCUUUUGUGGGGUGCUCGCGUGGCGAACGGGUGAGUAACAUGUGAGUAACCUGCCCUUGACUUUGGGAUAACUUCAGGAAACUGGGGCUAAUACCGGAUACGUGCUCCUGCUGCAUGGUGGGGGUCGGACAGUUUCGGCGGUUGGGGAUGGACUCCCGGCUUAUCAGCUUGUUGGUUGGGUAGUGGCUUACCAAGUCUUUGACGGGUAGCCGGCCUGAGAGGUGGACCGGCCACAUUGGGACUGAGAUACGGCCCAGACUCCUACGGGAGGCAGCAGUGGGGAAUAUUGCACAAUGGGCGGAAGCCUGAUGCAGCAACGCCGCGUGCGGGAUGACGGCCUUCGGGUUGUAAACCGCUUUCGCCUGUGACGAAGCGUGAGUGACGGUAAUGGGUAAAGAAGCACCGGCUAACUACGUG